AUUGAACGCUGGCGGCAGGCCUAACACAUCCAAGUCGAGCGGAGCGGCGGACGGGUGAGUAAUGCCUAGGAAUCUGCCUGGUAGUGGGGGAUAACGUCCGGAAACGGGAGCUAAUACCGCAUACUAUCAGAUUAGCCUAGGUCGGAUUAGCGAGUUGGUGGGGUAAAGGGCUAACAAGGCGACGAUCCGUAACUGGUCUGAGAGGAUGAUAAGUCAAACUGGAACUGGGACACGGUCCAGACUCCUACGUGAGGCAGGAGUGGGGAAUAUGGGAAAAUGGGCGAAAGCCUGAUCAAGCCAUGCCGCGUGUGUGAAGAAGGUUUUCGGAUUGUAAAGCACUGUAAGUUGGGAGGCGUUACCAACAGAAUACGCACCGGCUAACUUCGUGCCAGCAGCCGCGGUAAUUC
rnacentral:rRNA from 1 species